UGGGGAAUUUUGGACAAUGGGCGAAAGCCUGAUCCAGCAAUGCCGCGUGUGUGAAGAAAGCCUUCGGGUUGUAAAGCACUUUUGUCCGGAAAGAAAACGCCGUGGUUAAUACCCGUGGCGGAUGACGGUACCGGAAGAAUAAGCACCGGCUAACUACGUGCCAGCAGCCGCGGUAAUACGUAGGGUGCAAGCGUUAAUCGGAAUUACUGGGCGUAAAGCGUGCGCAGGCGGUCCGCUAAGACAGAUGUGAAAUCCCCGGGCUUAACCUGGGAACUGCAUUUGUGACUGGCGGGCUAGAGUAUGGCAGAGGGGGGUAGAAUUCCACGUGUAGCAGUGAAAUGCGUAGAGAUGUGGAGGAAUACCGAUGGCGAAGGCAGCCCCCUGGGCCAAUACUGACGCUCAUGCACGAAAGCGUGGGGAGCAAACAGG
rnacentral:rRNA from 1 species